CAGUUGUUAAUAAGAUGUUUCUUCUUACAAACGUCUGAACUUAGGAACUCCAUGGUGAUUUCAGUGAAUUACUGAGAUAACUC
rnacentral:snoRNA from 1 species